rnacentral:rRNA from 1 species
GAUUAGAUACCCUAUUAUUUUUAUUGUAAAAUUUGAAACUUGAGUAUUAGUAGUUAAGGUCUUGAAACUUAAAGAAUUUGGCGGUAUUAUAGUCUAUUUAGAGGAAUCUGUUAUGUAAUCGAUAGUCCACGUUGAACCUUACUUAUAUUAUUUCUUGUAUACCGCUGUUUGAGAAUAUACUUUUAGGUUAUUUUCUUAAUAUAUUAUUAAUUAAAAUUUCAGGUCAAGGUGCAGUAAUAUAUAAGUUGAAUAAUGGAUUACAAUAAAUUUUAUUUAUAUGGAUUGUUAUUGAAAUAUAAUUUGAAGGUGGAUUUAAUUGUAAUUUUUUAAAGAUUAUUAAAAUGAUUAAUAGCUCUAUAAUAUGUACACAUCGCCCGUCGCUCUCGUUAUUAAGAUGAGAUAAGUCGUA